AGCCCCAUUGUUCAAUUAGAUUGAGUCAAGUCUUACUAACUUACUAAUUAUUAAUUAAUCCUCCUACAACUUACUAACUCUUAGUAAGUUUGAUAAUUACAAUAAUUGUAUGAGAUUAAAUAUCAAUCAUAUUGAUAAUUAAAUCACUCUGUGAUUCAUAAUCACAAAUCAACCAUUUAAUUAGAUAAAGACUUCUUUUGUA
rnacentral:lncRNA from 1 species